CUUGUUUUUAAAUAGGGGAGGUCAAAAGAAUGUGGACAGCAACACAGUUGCAUUUCAGACGGGAACCAAUGAAUUAAACUAUGCAGUGAACAAAAUAUACGAUGAUCGGGAUGAGGUGGUGGCUGACGGAAACUAAAAAACUUAAGCAGGAAGGAUAUGUUUUAGCCUAUUAGUGUUUUAAGAGAUUUUUAAAAAAAAAAUUUUAAAAAAAUCCACUGAGGAUUCUAAUCAUUUUCCCUAAUAAUAGUCGAAGUAAAAAACGCCACGCGAAAGUAACAGAUACUGUCUUUCUUAUUAGUAAGAGGAGAAUGAGUUAGGUAGCCAGUUUUUGAAUGUGCAAAUAUCUUCUCUGAAAAGAUGGUUAAUUUUAGGUUGUUGUUGUCUGAACGAUGUAAGUUUCUAGGAGUAGAUGAUAACUGUCUCAUAGAGCGUUUUUCUAUUGAGUGUCGUAAACCGAAAACCAAA